UACGUAGGGUGCGAGCGUUAAUCGGAAUUACUGGGCGUAAAGCGUGCGCAGGCGGUGAUGUAAGACAGUUGUGAAAUCCCCGGGCUCAACCUGGGAACUGCAUCUGUGACUGCAUCGCUGGAGUGCGGCAGAGGGGGAUGGAAUUCCGCGUGUAGCAGUGAAAUGCGUAGAUAUGCGGAGGAACACCGAUGGCGAAGGCAGCCCCCUGGGUCAAAACUGACGCUCAUGCACGAAAGCGUGGGGAGCAAACAGG
rnacentral:rRNA from 1 species